UGAAAAGGCCAUGAGGAUGGCUACGGCUUUGAAGCUCCUUUAUCUACCAUAGAUAGAAUGGAAGAGUUUUUUCUCACCGCACUGAUCCACCAAGGCUAGGGAUAUCCAAUGGGAUGGAGCUAUUUCCCUUGGCACCUUAUAGUCCUCAGACGAUGAACAGAGCACUAGAUGCCCUAAUCUACUCCUAUGCUAAGUGUCUUUGUUUGGUUUGAUUUCUUGUGAAAGCGGCUAGCCCCAUCACUAAAGCAUGCCUGUUCCAUAUGAAAGGUGAUGUAGGUAGGGCUGGUAGGGGAAGUAAGAAAUAGGU